rnacentral:rRNA from 1 species
UACGUAGGGUCCGAGCGUUGUCCGGAAUUAUUGGGCGUAAAGAGCUCGUAGGCGGCCUGUCGCGUCGGCUGUGAAAACACGGGGCUCAACUCCGUGCCUGCAGUCGAUACGGGCAGACUAGAGUUCGGUAGGGGAGACUGGAAUUCCUGGUGUAGCGGUGAAAUGCGCAGAUAUCAGGAGGAACACCGGUGGCGAAGGCGGGUCUCUGGGCCGAAACUGACGCUGAGGAGCGAAAGCGUGGGGAGCGAACAGG